UACGUAGGGUCCGAGCGUUGUCCGGAAUUAUUGGGCGUAAAGGGCUCGUAGGCGGUCUGUUGCGUCGGGAGUGAAAACUUACAGCUUAACUGUGAGCGUGCUUCCGAUACGGGCAGACUGGAGUACUGCAGGGGAGACUGGAAUUCCUGGUGUAGCGGUGGAAUGCGCAGAUAUCAGGAGGAACACCGGUGGCGAAGGCGGGUCUCUGGGCAGUAACUGACGCUGAGGAGCGAAAGCGUGGGGAGCGAACAGG
rnacentral:rRNA from 1 species